AUAUGAAUAGGCUUCUUGAGCCUUGUGAAGAGUGAAUCCCAGGUGGGGUAAUUCUCACCACUGAGGAGAAAGAAUUUUUUGAAGAGGGCUGCAGAUCCGGUUGGAUAUGAAUACAGAUAUCACUCAAAGUCUGAAUGCAAUGAAUUCUAUUUCAAAGCAACAACUUUCAUAUUUCCUUAAAGAGGAAGAACCAUAUCUGGUGUGACAACAAUUUGAAAAGCGCCACCCAUCCUCUCUGAGACCACAAACAGCGCUGAAGGCAGUGAACCAAGACUUACAAACAAGGGUGUAGACCAAGGAAAAUGCUGGGGGCCAGAGGAGGAGAAAGCAAGAAGAUAGAAACACCAUAGUUUCAAGAGGGAGGGGAGCAGAAAGCCGCCAGCUCUCCAAAAAACAAGAAGCAAAACCCAGAACUCAAACCUCAUGAAAGUAUCACGAGGUUGAAGCCUUUAAAAGGUGUUUUUACAGCAGAUUUUAGAGACUUCUCACCUUACCAACGGUUAUAAACCCGUAUCCUUGCAAAUUCAGCAGUAGAGUCAUUAGAUUGCCCUCUCAGCCUCUGCACGUGAAGGGUCUCAGGGCUUUUCAGGACAUCUUUAGGGUCAGGUUUCGUGAAAUAGGUAGGUUGGGCCAGCUUUCUGGGGACUCUAAGCAACCUUGGAGAAAAUGGGCAGGAGUAAAUAAAGGUAUGCCAGCUUGCUUUUUCCAGUGGGGACUUGGCAAAUGCCAAAAACAGUAUAAAUAUUAUAUUCCCAUCUUCUAAUAUCAUGGAAACCCAUGGUGGCAAUGGGGCGCAGGGCUCACUAGCCACCCUGAGGUGAAGAAGUGGCCCCUCAGAGAUCUGAAGCUGGUUAGCAAGAGUUCACCAGGGCCUAGCUCCUUGUCCCUCAGGGAAAGCCCCUGGGUGCUAUAGCCCACCACCUGGAAGGGGCAGCCCCUGGAGAAAUGUUAGAAUUCUGGGUGAAUUAUUUUCUUAUGAAAUUUCAUCCAAAGUUUUAACAAAGUACCAAAUAGGAGAGUUGUUAAGUAUUGUGAGUGAGUGAGGUGGAGGAAGCAGAGCGGGGAAGGGGUGGCUCCACUCUCUCACUAUAUUCACUGCUCAUCCUAGAGAUGACCUAGUGUCAAAAACGUUGCAAAUGCAACCAGCUGCCUGUUGCAUCCAUGUAGUUCAGUUGUUGCUAUUUACAGGGUAGUAUAAAUGCCCGGUGCUGCUAUGAACCAAGGUGCUGAGUAUCAAAUGUUCCUGGAAGAGCACCUAGUAGUGUUUCAUUGGAUGGUUUCUAGUAAAAACUUUAUGCAAAAGUAAUAUGGUAUUGCUGAUUAUAGGUAUUAUCUGAUAAUAAUAAUCCUGUCAAGUACUUGCUUGGGCCAGAUCACUCUGUGAAGGCAGAAAGUUGGCAAUGCUUGUCUUAAAUGCAAGAUUCUUUCUCUUUUCUUCCUCCCUCCCUCCCUCCUAUUCAACCAUCCUUUAUUCACCCUUGGAAAAAUUUGGGCUCUGCAUUCACUCUUGCACAAUCCUGUAAUCUCAUGGUUUACUUUAUGAUGACAAUAUUAAUGACAAUAAAGGCACAUUUUCCCUAAGAUA
ensembl:lncRNA novel transcript, antisense to RIPOR2